rnacentral:rRNA from 1 species
GACGAACGCUGGCGGCGUGCUUAACACAUGCAAGUCGAACGGAAAGGCCCUGCUCUUGCGGGGCGCUCGAGAGCCGAACGCGUGAGUAACACGUGAGUAACCUGCCCCUGACUUUGGGAUAACACCUGGAAACUGCGGCUAAUACCGGAUAGAAGCUCCUGCUGCAUGUUGGUGGUUGGAAAGCUUCGGCCGUGGUGGAUCGACUAGCAGCUUAUCAGCCUGUUGGUGGAGUAGUUGCGUACCAAGCCUGUGACGGAUAGCCGGCCUGAGAGGGUGACCGGCCACAUUGGGACUGAGAUACGAACCAGGGGCCUACCGGAGGCAGGAGUGGAAAAUUUUACGCAGUAAGGGCAAGUGUGAUACAACAAUCUCCCGUGCGUAAAGCAGUGUUAUGGGUAGUAAACAGAUUUCGACUGAAGCGAACAGUGAGUGACGGUAGUGGGUCAAGAAGCAACGGCUAACUACGUG